UGCGCAGGCGGUUGGGUGUGUCAGAUGUGAAAUCCCGAGGCUCAACCUCGGAACUGCGUCUGAAACUACUCGACUAGAGUACUGGAGAGGGUAACGGAAUUCACGGUGUAGCAGUGAAAUGCGUAGAUAUCGUGAGGAACACCAGAGGCGAAGGCGGUUACCUGGACAGUUACUGACGCUCAGGCACGAAAGCGUGGGGAGCAAAAGGGAUUAGAUACCCCCGUAGUCCACGCCCUAAACGGUGCACACUAGGUCUUGGCGGAUUCGACCCCACCAGGGCCCAAGCUAACGCGUUAAGUGUGCCGCCUGAGGACUACGGUCGCAAGACUAAA
rnacentral:rRNA from 1 species